ACGCCGACUGGGGAAUGGCUCGGUUCGGGUGCCGAAGAAGGUCGUGCCAAGCUGCGAUAUGCGUCGGGUAGGUGCAAGGAGCCUAUGAUCCGACGAUGACCUAAUGCGACUUCGUAAUCUUCGGAUUGUUCCGUAAGGAACGGGAACGCGGGGGAUCGAAACAUCCUAGUACCCGCAGGAAAAGAAAUCACUAGAGAUACCGUGAGUAAAGGCGAUCGAAAACGGUACAGGGCAAACCGAAUCCCCAUCAGUAAUGAUGGGGAAAUGUGGUGUUGUGGGCCCGGUUACAUCCUUAAGACCAACCAGAGAUCUGCUGGAACGCAGUACCAUAGAGGGUGAUAGUCCCGUAUGGACAAAUCGAGAGGAUGAGUUCCGGUGUCCCUGAGUAACGUGCGUUGGAUAUCGCGCGUGAAUUUGGGAAACAUUCAUUUCCAACCCUAAAUACACCCCGAGACCGAUAGUGCAGUAGUAGCGUGAGUGAAAGCUGAAAAGUACCCUUGACGGGAGGUUCAAAGAGCCUGAAACCAGUCGGCUAUAAAUUGUAAGGGCAUGAAAGGGAAACCAGUGUUCUUACGUCCGUUUCGAAAAACGGGCCAUGGAGUUCUGUUCAAUGGCGAGGCUAAGAGGAUCAUCCUCGGAGCCGCAGGGAAACCAACAAGUCCGCAACCGCAAGGUGAGGGACGAGGUGCGCUCGCCUGGAGUCAUUGGAGGGACACCCGAAGCCAGUUGAUCUAUACCUGGGCAGGUUGAAGCCUUUCGAAAGGAAGGUGGAGGACCGAACCGGUAAUGAUGUGCAAAUCUUUCGGAUAACCUGGGUAUAGGGAUGAAAGGUCAAUCAAAGCUGGAAAUAGCUGGUUCCUCCUGAAACUAAUCGCAGUUAGAUCUCGGCGGAGGUAGAUCGUGUGGUAGAGCACUGAUCGGGGGCUUAGGGGGAGAAAUCCCUCGGCCCCCUGUCAAACUCCGAACAUGCGGUCACCGUAGAGGCCGGGAGUGAGGGCAUCCGGGGUAAGCUUGAUGUCCAUCAGGGAACGUAACCCAGCCAAUAAUUAAGGUCCCCAAGUUUCGGUUAAGUGUAACAAUAAAGGGAGUCUGUAGUCCAAGACAACUGGGAGGUGAGCUUAGAAGCAGCCACCCUUUAAAGAAAGCGUAACAGCUCACCAGUCGAGAUUAUAGGCCCCGAAAAUGGACGGGGCUAAGCCGAACACCGAUAUUAUUGAGCACCGCAAGGUGAUCUGGUAAGGAGGUGACAGGCGUGGGUAGAAGCUAGGCCGUGAGGUCUGGUGGACCGCGUUUGUAUAAGGAUCAUGGCAGGAGUAGCAGCAAAGAAUGGUGAGAAUCCAUUCCGCCGUAGGGGCCAGGGUUCCUCGGCAAUGUUCGUCAGCCGAGGGUUAGCCGAUCCUAAACUACCACUUAAUCGGAAGUAGUGAAAGGGAAACAGGUUAAUAUUCCUGUGCCGCGUCAGAAUUUGCGUCAUUCUUGACACAUCGGGAUAAGUGGAAUAAUCUUGUCUGGUUAUUCAAGUGUAUAAACUGAGGAAGAACCGUAAUGGUGUGAACUCGGUGAAAGCACGAGCAGGGGGACGAAAGUCCCCUUCCGUCGAUUCCUGGUGUCCGUGAAAAUCGAGUGACUUACACCUGACGCGUUCGUACCAAGAACCGACACAGGUGCCCCUAGAUGAAAAGUCUAAGGCGUGUCGGCCUAAUCGAUGCGAGGGAACUCGGCAAAUUAGCCCCGUAACUUCGGGAUAAGGGGUGCCAGCCGCGAGAGUGGCUGGUCGCAGUGGCAAGGGAACUCCGACUGUUUAAUAAAAACACAGAUCGCUGCAAGUCCGAAAGGAUGUGUAUAGCGGUUGAAGCCUGCCCAGUGACGGUAUCUGAAACUCGGGUCCAACCGAACGAAGGACCGUUAAACGGCGGGGGUAACUAUGACCCUCUUAAGGUAGCGUAAUACCUUGUCGCUUAAUUGGCGACUUGCAUGAAGGCCCAACGAGAGUUCUACUGUCCCCGCAUCGAAGCCGGUGAAACUAACAGUACUGGUGCACAGUCCAGUAUCUUCCACCUGAAAGCGAAGACCCCAUGGAGCUUUACUGCAACCUGUUGUUGUGAUAUGAAUUUUGAUGUGUAGGGUAGGCGGGAGACGUUACCCAGGAAUUGCCGCUAGGUAAUCUCCGAGUCGACGAUGAAACACCGCCCUUCAGACUUCGUACCACUAACUUCGUUAGAAAGACACCAAUAGGUAGGCAGUUUGGGUGGGGCGCCACGCGCUCAAAAAGAUAACAAGCGCGCCCAAUGGUCAGCUCAGGCAGGUCAGAAAUCUGCCGGUGAAUGUAAGGGUAAAAGCUGGCUUGACGCGGAUCCGGACAACAAGGAUCGGCGAUACGAAAGUAGGGCCUAGCGAACCAAUCAACCUUCUGAAUGGGGGUGAUUGAUGACAGAAAAGUUACCCUGGGGAUAAUUGAGUUGUCGCCAGCAAGAGUUCAUAUCGACCUGGCGGCUUGCUACUUCGCUGUCGGCUCUCCCUAUCCUGGCGGUGCAGCAGCUGCCAAGGGUGGGGUUGUUCGCCCAUUAAAAGGGAUCGUGAGCUGGGUUUAGACCGUCGUGAGACAGGUUUGUUGCUUUUUGGUGGAAGUGUAUUGAUGCCUGACGAGAAGGACCCUUGAGUACGAGAGGAACGGGGGUUCGGUGCCUCUAGUCAAUCAGUUGUCCGACAGGGCAUGCUGAGCAGCCACGCACUACUGGAUAAGAGCUGAAAGCAUCUAAGCUCGAAGCCACCUUGAAAAAGAGGCAUCUUAGGACGCUCAUAGUUGA
rnacentral:rRNA from 1 species